rnacentral:sRNA from 1 species
AGAAGAAUUAGCUGAUGUAGAAGG